GAUGAACGCUGGCGGCGUGCUUAACACAUGCAAGUCGAACGAUGAAGCCCAGCUUGCUGGGUGGAUUAGUGGCGAACGGGUGAGUAACACGUGAGUAACCUGCCCUUAACUCUGGGAUAAGCCUGGGAAACUGGGUCUAAUACCGGAUAGGAGCGUCCACCGCAUGGUGGGUGUUGGAAAGAUUUAUCGGUUUUGGAUGGACUCGCGGCCUAUCAGCUUGUUGGUGAGGUAAUGGCUCACCAAGGCGACGACGGGUAGCCGGCCUGAGAGGGUGACCGGCCACACUGGGACUGAGACACGGCCCAGACGCCUACGGGGGGCAGCAGUGGGGAAUAUUGCACAAUGGGCGCAAGCCUGAUGCAGCGACGCCGCGUGAGGGAUGACGGCCUUCGGGUUGUAAACCUCUUUCAGUAGGGAAGAAGCGAAAGUGACGGUACCUGCAGAAGAAGCACCGGCUAACUACGUG
rnacentral:rRNA from 1 species